UUAAAGCAGGAACAUCAUGUUGUGCCGAAGGAACAUGUCAGAAGAUUGGACGUCGGGCCAGUGGAUCGGUCGACGUAUCGACAGAAGGCUUCGGGCCGUGGACUCGAGCAUCGGGCCAAGAAGAGCGGGUAUUGUGCCAAGGAUAUCGGAGUUGCGGAGUCAACUGGCCGAUUGGGCAAUAGGCUGCAGGAAAGGACGAUGCGCCGAAGAAUCGGACGAAGCGUCAAGGGACCAAUGACAUGCCGGACAAC
rnacentral:lncRNA from 1 species